GAUGAACGCUAGCGGCAGGCCUAAUACAUGCAAGUCGAACGAUAUUAUCCAGCUUGCUGGAUAUGAAAGUGGCGCACGGGUGCGUAACGCGUAUGCAACCUACCUUAUUCAGGGGGAUAGCCCGAAGAAAUUCGGAUUAACACCGCAUAAAAUCACAGUUCAGCAUUUGACAAUGAUCAAAUAUUUAUAGGAAUAAGAUGGGCAUGCGUGUCAUUAGCUAGUUGGCGGGGUAACGGCCCACCAAGGCGACGAUGACUAGGGGAUCUGAGAGGAUGGCCCCCCACACUGGUACUGAGACACGGACCAGACUCCUACGGGAGGCAGCAGUAAGGAAUAUUGGUCAAUGGAGGGAACUCUGAGCCAGCCAUGCCGCGUGCAGGAAGACGGCCCUCUGGGUUGUAAACUGCUUUUAUUCGGGAAUAAACCUAUUUACGUGUAAAUAGCUGAAUGUACCGAAGGAAUAAGGAUCGGCUAACUCCGUGCCAGCAGCCGCAGUAA
rnacentral:rRNA from 1 species